rnacentral:rRNA from 1 species
CCCGUCUUGAAACACGGACCAAGGAGUCUAACAUGUGCGCGAGUCAUUGGGAAGUCAAACCUAAAGGCGCAAUGAAAGUGAAGGUGCAGUAGACCGAGGGGAGAUGGAGCGCGCGCCAGCGCGGCUCCCGCAUCCCCGGGGCGUCUCGUUCUCACUGCGAGUUGAGGCGCACCCAGAGCGUACACGUUGGGACCCGAAAGAUGGUGAACUAUGCCUGGCCAGGACGAAGUCAGGGGAAACCCUGAUGGAGGUCCGUAGCGAUUCUGACGUGCAAAUCGAUCGUCGGAGCUGGGUA